GGCUUUAUAGUCAUUUAUUAAAUGAUAUUAGACUGCAAUUCUAAAGGAGUAACAAAUUUACUAAAGCUU
rnacentral:tRNA from 1 species